rnacentral:rRNA from 1 species
GACGAACGCCGGCGGCGUGCUUAACACAUGCAAGUCGAGCGGUAAGGCCCUUUCGGGGGUACACGAGCGGCGAACGGGUGAGUAACACGUGGGUGGCCUGCCCUCAGCUCUGGGAUAAGCCUGGGAAACUGGGUCUAAUACCGGAUAUGACUCCAUGACGCAUGUUGUGGGGUGAAAGCCUUGUGCGGCUGAGGAUGGGCCCGCGGCCUAUCAGCUUGUUGGUGGGGUGAUGGCCUACCAAGGCGACGACGGGUAGCCGGCCUGAGAGGGCGACCGGCCACACUGGGACUGAGACACGGCCCAGACUCCUACGGGAGGCAGCAGUGGGGAAUCUUGCGCAAUGGGCGAAAGCCUGACGCAGCGACGCCGCGUGA